UACCAGCACCCCGAGUGGUCGGGACGUUUAUUGGGCCUAAAGCAUCCGUAGCCGGUUCUACAAGUCUUCCGUUAAAUCCAACUGCUUAACAGGUGGGCUGCGGAAGAUACUAUAGAGCUAGGAGGCGGGAGAGGCAUGCGGUACUCGAUGGGUAGGGGUAAAAUCCGUUGAUCCAUUGAAGACCACCAGUGGCGAAGGCGGCUUGCCAGAACGCGCUCGACGGUGAGGGAUGAAAGCUGGGGGAGCAAACCGG
rnacentral:rRNA from 1 species